GACGAACGCUGGCGGCGUGCUUAACACAUGCAAGUCGAACGGAAAGGCCCUGCUUUUGUGGGGUGCUCGAGUGGCGAACGGGUGAGUAACACGUGAGUAACCUGCCCUUGACUUUGGGAUAACUUCAGGAAACUGGGGCUAAUACCGGAUAGGAGCUCCUGCUGCAUGGUGGGGGUUGGAAAGUUUCGGCGGUUGGGGAUGGACUCGCGGGUUAUCAGCUUGUUGGUGGGGUAGUGGCUUACCAAGGCUUUGACGGGUGGCCGGCCUGAGAGGGUGACCGGCCACAUGGGGACUGCGAUACGGCCCAGACUCCUACGGGAGGCAGCAGUGGGGAAUAUUGCACAAUGGGCGGAAGCCUGAUGCAGCAACGCCGCGUGCGGGAUGACGGCCUUCGGGUUGUAAACCGCUUUCGCCUGUGACGAAGCGUGAGUGACGGUAAUGGGUAAAGAAGCACCGGCUAACUACGUG
rnacentral:rRNA from 1 species